rnacentral:rRNA from 1 species
GGGGAAUUUUUCGCAAUGGGCGCAAGCCUGACGAAGCAACGCCGCGUGGAGGAUGAAGGCCCUAGCGGUCGUAAACUCCUGUCUAGCGGGACGAAAGUUAUCAGGGUGAAUAAUCCUGGUGGUUGACUGUACCGCUGGAGGAAGCUCCGGCCAACUCCGUGCCAGCAGCCGCGGUAAUACGGAGGGUGCGAGCGUUAAUCGGAAUUACUGGGCGUAAAGCGCGCGUAGGCGGCUGAUCAAGUCCGAUGUGAAAGCCCCGGGCUCAACCCGGGAACGGCGUUGGAGACUGAUCGGCUGGAGUGCGACAGAGGGUGGUGGAAUUCCCGGUGUAGCGGUGAAAUGCGUAGAGAUCGGGAGGAACAUCGAUGGCGAAGGCAACCGCCUGGGUCGACACUGACGCUGAGGUGCGAAAGCGUGGGGAGCAA